rnacentral:rRNA from 1 species
GAAUUUAAGCAUAUAAGUAAGCGGAGUGAAAAGAAACUAAACAGGAUUCCGUGAGUAAUGGCGAAUGAACACGGAGUAGCUCAGAGUGGAAAUCAAGCUCCUUCGGACCUUGAAUUGUAAUUUUUCAUUGCAAUGCCAACGAGGGCGCAGAUACAAGUCGCUUGGAAGAGCGCACCAAUGAGGGUGAGAGUCCCGUUCAUGAUCUGCAGCCCCCCGUGUACGGCAUGCAUGUGCAGAGUCACGUUCCUUGGGAGUGGAGCGCAAAUCGGGUGGUAAAUUUCAUCUCAAGCUAAAUAUGAAUUUGAGACCGAUAGCAAACAAGUACCAUGAGGGAAAGGUGAAAAGUACUUUGAAAAGAAAGUUAAAAGUGCCUGAAAUUGCUGAAAGGGAAGCGAAAGGAACCAGCCGUCAUAGCAAGAUUGUAGUGUAGGCAUACAUUUGUGUGCUUGCGCGAUGCUUCUGGCUAUGGUAAUCGUCGGUGGUCGUCGGUCGGGGAUAACUGCAGGGGCAUUCCAGCUUACUUACGAGUGAGUAAACGCACUUGCCAGAACCCGGCUGGCGAUCAUUACCUAUCUGAAAAUUGCAACUCCGAUGUGCAGCAUAGAUUGCGGCGCGCUCGUGCAUGCAAUGCCAGAUGCUCGGCGAUCAAAUGGUUCUUCUCGACCCGUCUUGAAACACGGACCAAGGAGUCUAGCAAAUGUGCGAGUUCAUGGGAUGUAAACCUAUUUUUGCAACGAAAGUGAUUGCUGAGAUAUUUCCACCAGCAACCGACCAAUCAAUUGAGAGCGGUUUGAGUGUAAGCAUAUUUGUUAGGACCCGAAAGAUGGUGAACUAUGCCUGUGAAGAGUGAAGCCAGGGGAAACUCUGGUGGAGGCUCGUAGCGAUACUGACGUGCAAAUCGUUCGU